rnacentral:misc_RNA from 1 species
AACGCACCUUGCGCCCUCUGGUAUUCCGGAGGGCAUGCCUGUUUGAGUGUCAUGAACACCUCACCCCCUCGGGUUUCCGACUGGGUGGAUUUGGGUGCUGCCAGUUACAUGGCUCGCCUUAAAUGUAUUAGCGGUUGUUGACGUAAUAAGUUUCGUCUUGUCGACCGCUCCUAAUCUCCUUCGGGAUGUCUUCGGACACUUCAUGAUCUGACCUCAAAUCAGGUAGGACUACCCGCUGAACUUAA